rnacentral:rRNA from 1 species
CCGCGCAGACUAAAUCCUACGACCCACUCCGCACAUACUCUGUCCUCGCUGUGACCAUUUCCCGUGAACUCGUAGUGCCCUGCGGCCCACCCGGUCGCAGCUACACUCGCAUCUACCUACUCUUGCCUUGCGCAAUGCCUCAAUAUCUGGUGGGCCGAACGCGCUGGUGCGUAUAAUGCGUCCUCGUGGUGCUUGUACAACCACUCCCGUCCCCCUCGCUCCGGGUGACUUCCCUGCCUGUACUGAAACUCUACUCGAAUCUCUCGCGUGUUCGUUUCAAGUGGGAGGUCGCAUCGCGUCCAAUUAAAGGGCCCGCGGACGAUUCUUACCCGGUCCUGAAUCCGAUUUGUACUAUCACGGGAACGUCGCCUACCUCUACCUGGGGAANUAGUGAUCUGGUGCUGCAUCGCUGCUGUCAGAUAUGUCUGCGGAGAUGUCGCGGUAAAUUCCUUCGACGCGCGCUAAUCCCUGAUUCUCCGUUNCCACCAUUCAGGUGGCCANUUGUACGCUGAUGCCCGCUGACCAUCCGGAGCAAGCUGGGGAUGACGNCAAAUCACCAUGCCCCUUAUGGCUUGGGGNACACACGGGGCUNCAAUGGAUGGUACAAAGGGCUGCAAGACCGNGAGGUNAAGCCAAUCCCAUAAAACCAUUCUCAGUUCGGAUUGUAGGCUGCAACUCGCCUACAUGAAGCUGGAAUCGCUAGUAAUCGCGGAUCAGCAUGCCGCGGUGAAUACGUUCCCGGGCCUUGUACCCACCGCCUGUACACACCACGAGAGUUUGUAACACCCGAAGUCGGUGGAGUAACCGUAAGGAGCGAGCCGCCUAAGGUGGGACAGAUGAUUGGGGUGAAGUCGUAACAAGGUAA